rnacentral:rRNA from 1 species
GGAAUAUUGGACAAUGGGCGCAAGCCUGAUCCAGCCAUGCCGCGUGCAGGAUGACGGUCCUAUGGAUUGUAAACUGCUUUUGUACGAGAAGAAACACUGCUUCGUGAAGCAGCUUGACGGUAUCGUAAGAAUAAGGAUCGGCUACCUCCGUGCCAGCAGCCGCGGUAAUACGGAGGAUCCAAGCGUUGUCCGGAAUCAUUGGGUUUAAAGGGUCCGUAGGCGGUUUAGUAAGUCAGUGGUGAAAGCCCAUCGCUCAACGGUGGAACGGCCAUUGAUACUGCUGAACUUGAAUUAAUAGGAAGUAACUAGAAUAUGUAGUGUAGCGGUGAAAUGCUUAGAGAUUACAUGGAAUACCAAUUGCGAAGGCAGGUUACUACUAAUGGAUUGACGCUGAUGGACGAAAGCGUGGGUAGCGAAC